GACGAACGCUGGCGGCAUGCCUAAUACAUGCAAGUCGAGCGGACAGAAGGGAGCUUGCUCCCGAAAGUCAGCGGCGGACGGGUGAGUAACACGUGGGCAACCUGCCCCUUAGAUUGGGAUAACUUCGGGAAACCGAAGCUAAUACCGAAUAAUACAAGGAACCUCCUGGUUCUCUGUUGAAAGAUGGCCUUUGUGCUGUCACUAAGGGAUGGGCCCGCGGCGCAUUAGCUAGUUGGUCAGGUAACGGCUUACCAAGGCGACGAUGCGUAGCCGACCUGAGAGGGUGAUCGGCCACACUGGGACUGAGACACGGCCCAGACUCCUACGGGAGGCAGCAGUAGGGAAUCUUCCGCAAUGGACGAAAGUCUGACGGAGCAAUGCCGCGUGAGUGAGGAAGGCCUUCGGGUCGUAAAGCUCUGUUGUGAGGGAAGAACAAGUACCGGCGUAACUACCGGUACCGUGACGGUACCUCACCAGAAAGCCACGGCUAACUACGUGCCAGCCGCCGCCUAA
rnacentral:rRNA from 1 species